UUAUUUUGGGGAAUGCGGUUAUCCUAUGGUUUGCGGCAAGUACGGCAUCUGCUCCGGCGGGCAAUGCAGUUGUCCUCCAACCUAUGUCAAGCCAAUAAAGGAUAGACAGCCUGCCCUUGGGUGCUCCCCGAUUACUCCCUUAUCAUGUGAAGCUUCCCAAAAUCAUAGUUUUGUUAAACUUAAUGAUAUCACUUACUUCACUUUUAGCUCAGACCUUACGAAUACAGAUUCGGAGAUGUGUAAACAAGCCUGUUUAAAGAAUUGCUCGUGCAAAGCUGCUCUAUUUCUGUAUGGUUGGAACCCUUCUGCUGGAGAGUGCUCCUUGCUGUCUGAAAUCUUUUCGAUGAUUGAUAAUGACAAGGAAAAGACUCAUUAUAACUCAACUGCUUACAUUAAGGUUCAGAACUUGGCAACGCUAAAGUGAGGAAAUAAGACGAGUCAUGAUAGGGCCCGGCUCUAGAGUAUCUCCGAAUCCUCAAGUGAAAGAUUUAAGUAAUUAAUGCAUUUUGUACUUGCUGUUGAAAUAAAUUACCUGUGUGUAAUAUUCAUAUUUUAUGUGACACUUUUUAUCGUUUCUUCUAGACACGCAAAAUGCUGGAAUUUUAAAUUUAUUUUUCAAAAGAAAAAAAAUGUAGAGGAUUUUGCAAUUGAGAUGCAAACAAUUUUUGCGUUGUUUUCAUUCUCGUCCUAUCUGCAUAUAACAAACAAUCUCAUUUUUUGGUAAACAAACAGGAAUGAAUUAAAGAAAUAAGUAAAAUUAGUAACGAAUUAAGGGAAAGAAAAUAUUAACAUUAAUUUUUAGAGGAAAAAUAUAUAUGACGUCCUUUAUAAGAUUUUACAUAUAAAUGAAUUAUUUAAGAUUUAGAAAUAUCUAUUUCAAAAAAAAAAAUUGUAUUAGCUCUAUCGAUAAAAUUAUAUGAUUUAUUUCCAAUCAUUCUCUCAUAAAACAACAAUCUUCAAAAUACUUCAUUAACUAUUAUAAAACCCAACUUACCUCUUAUUUUUGUUAAAAGACAAAAAAAAAUUCAUCAAGCUGCACCCCCAUUUUUCCAAAAUUUUUUAAACAAAAAUGAAGUAAAUUAAAGUUAUGGUAUUUUGAAAAUUGUUAAUCCACAAUGAAUAAUCCAAAAUUAACUCUCAUUUUUUCUACCUUAUGAAUUUGCUGAUGCAGCCAUCCUUCUGAGGAGAGCCUCAGGCUCCUGAUAUGCAUGUGGCUACUUCUGUAACGGAACCUGUGACGCUUAUCUUUUUGCUGUUUUCAUCGUUAGACAGCGUCGGUGGUAAUGGCUCCUGGGCAAAAAUUGGCGGAAGGGAAGAAACUUACAGCUUGUGCUUGAUGGAGGUUUUUCUGUCACUCAUGAAGGAUUGUUUGCUUUGCUUUCAUAGAGUCUAAUAGUUCUUCAUUACGCAGUGUAUUACGAAAACAGAGCGAGAGGCAUUAAAACAAGUAAGGAACCAGGCUAUAUGUAUGUUCUUGGCACUAUUGAUUAGAUCCCCUGAAUCAAGUUAUCCGGUUUCCAUCGCCAGCACAUUACACGAGAUUGUGGCCCUGAUGGACAUUUAAAACUUUUAACACUCAAAGGGUAAGCAGAAGUGUGGGAUCUCUUCACAAGUUAUUUUAGGGAAUUAAUGCGGUUAUCCUAUGGUUUGCGUGGAAGUAUGGCAUCUGCCCUGGCGGCAGGCAAGGAAGCUAAUGAAUGAUAUAGACAGCCUGCCGUUGGGUGCUCCCGGAUUACUACAUUAUCAUGUGAAGCUCCGCAAGAUCGCCGUUCUGUCGAGAUUAAUCGUGUCACUUUCUUCAUCUUUAGCUCAGACCUUACGGAUAUAGAUUCGGAGACAUGUAAUUGUAAACAUGCCUGCUUAGUGAAUUGCGCGUGCAAAGCUGCUCUUUUUCGGAAUGGUUGGAACUCUUCUGCUGGAAAUUGCUACCCAAUAUCUGAAAUCUUUAAUUUUGAACAAUGAAUAAUGAGAAGGAAAAGACUCAUUAUAACCCAACUGUUUACAUUAAGGUUCAGAGCUUGCCGGUGCCAUGUGCAAGUACAGGUGGAAAGAAAACGGUUCAGGCAAAUAAAUAUAUUUCGGGUUCAGCCUUGGAUCUUUCUUUGGCUUCUUAGUUUUGAUCAGUGUCUUGAUCUAUUUCUUUUGGAAGAAGAAAAACAUUGCUGAUGAAACUGAUCAGGAAGAUUAUUUGAUUUUGUCGAAAAUGAUCGACUGGGACCAGAAUUGUGACUUGUGAUGACCAUGAGAGGAAAUCCAGGCUAACUAUUUGGCUACGGGAUGGAAUAUCUGUAGCUUUAUUUGGAGCUGUAGUGUUGGAGAUACUGGGCAUGCGGAAAAUCUUUGACCGCUCUCAGGUGUAGGAGGAAGAGAAGUAUAAGCUAAGCCUUUUCAAGAAAGGCCAAAGCAGUGGAGGAAAAAUAGUCGGACAUGGUGGAUAAACACAGAAAGGAUAUACACUCAAAUGGAGAACAAGUACUGAAUAUCAUGAAAGUGGCUUCAGGAAAGUGAUGAUGAAAUAAUUGCAGAUCAACAGAAAUAUUAGCAUAAGUUGAUCGUUUGGAAGAAAAUGAUAAACCCACUACUGUGUUUUUGCCUUCAGUUUUGGACCCGGAAACGCUGGCUGAUUAAGAGCAGUUCUUUAUAAUUGGCAUUGAAGCCACCUGAAAGUUAAACAAUGUUCAGAUUCCAGAACCCGAUCUUCUUAUUUAAUUUGUCUUUGUUUCAAAAAUCUAAAACCACUUGACUAUAUUCUUCUUUUUUGUCUUUUUUUAAUUCAACACUAACCUCUUCUAGCAAUUCGAUUUUCUUCCAUGUUUUAUUCACCUCAAACCUACUCAGACAAAUUUUUGAGGCAUUGGGUUUUAUCACCUUUUUGGAUCCCCGUUGGGAAUCAAUACGCAAAAAAAAAAAAAAAAAAAAUCAAUCUCUUUUAGUCUUUACCGACAGCUUUCACUUUCAGCAACUUCCUGAAAAGAUUUUCAAUUAGUUUUUCAGUUCGAAAGGUGCCAAAUUCAUAAAGGGUUUAUCAUGCCUAAAACUAAAAGCUCAAAUUACAGUUGAGGAUAUAAUAACUUCUAUUAAGGAUAAAACAUCUAUUUUACACAAUUUUUAAAAACAAAGAAUUGACUGAGCAACAGAAGUACAUCGACCGAAGUGAUUGAUUACAGCGGGCCCCCAAAAAAAAAAGAUAGCAAUUUCGAAAAGCGUUUGAUUUAUGAUCUAAAAAGAUAGAUGCAAUUUGAAAUAUUUACUGCUAAAAUAUAAGUUGAAUAUGAUAAAACAAAACAAAAAUGGAAAUAUUUUGUAUUGUGUCACGGCCAAUAAAAUGCAAAAGGAAUCUACCAAAUUACCAUAGAUUUGGCCAUAUCCAGUUUCAUUUACUGAGUAUUAUCAGAGAUCAAAAUGACAUAGGAUGCAAAACAUAAAUCAUAUCAUUAUAUACGAAUAAUUUGUAUUCAAUAUAAAAGGUCCCAGAACCAAUAAAAAGUUUAUCUCAAGCUUUUUACUAGUGGGUCUUUAAUUGGUUGUUUAGUUUAGACAUUGAGAAUGCAAAUGGCGAAGCAAGCUGUAAUAGAUUGAACGCUUUAUUUUGACUUCUUCAAUGCUUCAAAUAUAUUAUUGCACUUUUUGAGGACUUUUAUGGGUCAUCUUUUGAUAAAUUGUAUUGUACUCCUUUAUUGGUUUUACACUACCAUGCACGGACUCUGCUUCUUGAGUGUUUGACUCACGGCAAAACUGAAAUGAAAAAACAGAACCUUUUUGUGGAACAUUAAAACAUGAAUAUCCUUUUUCUUAUGUCUAUCUUUUAAUAAAUACGUAUAGAAAAAUGGUAAGAGAAGAGAAAGUUGAGAGAAAGUUGAGUGAAAUAAUAAAGAAAAUUAUAAUCAAAGUUGGUUGGUGUGAGUGGUUCGGCACUCUAGAAAGGUAAGGGGUUCAAGCUCCGUUCUCGUAUGGAGUCACCACUUUAGCCAGUAUUUUACCCCUUAUGGGCCGACCCGGUGCGAGCGGGGAUUAAUCUGAAUUGUGGUACGGGCUUAAAAGUGCCUCCCACAGUUGGGGCCUACUCAGGACCACCUCGUGGUCCAAACAAAAAAAAAAAAAAGAAAAUUGUAGAGACAGAAUAGAUGGAUAGAGAGAGAGAGAGAGUGAAUUUCUCUCAGCUUUCUCUCAUCUAGGGAUGGCAAAAUCCGGGUCCAGGUCCGGGUUUAGCCUUCCUGGUUCCGGACCCGGACGCCAUUUUCUUUCUCCCGGAUCCGGAUUAAAACCCGAUUUUUUCACUCCGGGUCCGAUACGGGUUCAACCCGGAAAAAUCCAGAUUUCCGGAUUCCGGGUUUCAAACCCGGAUACCUAUAUGAAUUUUUCUUUUCCACUUCUCUUAAGGCCAUGGAUACAAUGGAAAAAAUGGUACAGUCGCAUAGCAAUUUCACCCAAAAAAGCAAAAGCAGCAGAAUGUGAAGCAAUGCAAUUAUAGAAUCCAACUACUACAACAAAUAAGCAAGCAAAAGAACACAACUUCUUCACGUCCCUGGGUUUCUCUUUGCCAUCAUCUUUUACGAUUACACUUCCCGGCACCGGCGCCGACGACGGAGGGAGAGGGGCACGAAUCUGGUGGUCAUCGGAUGGCUGAGCCUGAAGCUGAUAAGGGCGCCAGCAACAUUAUCGGAGAUGGACGAUGAGAGAUCAUCAAAGUUGAUGAACACGCCUUGCGAUGGCCUCCUUUGAUGGCGGCUUGAUUUUUCUGACAUUUUUUUCCUUUUUUGGACAAAACAAAAGUGAAAAGAGAGAGAGAGAGAAUGAAGCUUUGUAAAAAGAAGAAGAAGAAGAAGAUAGGCAAAUGUAUGGGGGAGUGUAUGGUGAGAUUUGAGUUAUUAUAUAAAGAAAAAAGAAAUGAAUUUGAGUGAGUGAAUGAGAUUUGAAGCCGUCACUGCAAACUAGGGUUUCCUCUUUUUUGACUUUUUGCUUUUUUAUUUAUAUUUUAAAAAAAUUAAAAAUAUAAUAUUAAGAAUAAAGACAUCCGGGUCCGGGUUCCGGAUAUGCGGGUUGGCCUAUUCCGGAUCCGGACUCGGAUACAUCCGAGUUUAUUAAAUUGCUUCCGGAUUCCGGAUUUUUUUGUUUUCGGUGCGGGUUGAACUCGAUCCGGAUUUUCCAGGUUCGUGCGGGUCCGGGCUGGAUCCGGGUUAUUUUGCCAUCCCUACUCUCAUCUUUCGCUCCCCCUAAUACCACUCGUACGUAUAUGGGCCCUGCCCAGUGGAUGGAUGAGUCAUGACUCAUGAGUGUGUCGGUGGGUGGACGAUGCAGAAUAGAGAUAAGGACACUGCAGGGUGGAAUUCUGUCCCUUUAAUAAAAUUUUUCAGUCGAUCUCUUAUUUUAUCAUUGAAAUACUCUGCAAGUGAAAAAAAAUCCUGCAGUCUCCUUUCCAAAUCAUUUCGUAUUACACUCUUCAUUGUAGGCGAUGAGUGUCAGUCGGAACUGGUGUUCUGUUCUUUUCUUUCUUAUUUUCUCUACGCCAUUUUCUUGCUUGGUUGAUGCCCGAAGUUUUGAUUAUCCGACAGCGAACCUCUCUACUUCAUGGACCAACGGCCCGUCAGCUUCUCAGUCGGUAGAUUUCAGGGACGGAUCAGCGGUGAGAGCCAUCCUUCUUAGGGGAACCUUUGGCCCCAGAUAUGCAUGUGGCUUCUUCUGCAAUGGCAGCUGUGACUCUUAUCUAUUUGCUGUUUUCAUAGUUCAGACCGAUAGUGUCUCCUUAAUCGUUUCUCCAGCUAGCGGAUUUCCACAUGUUGUCUGGUCUGCUAAUCGUAACAAACCUGUUCGAAUAAACGCAACCUUAGAACUCACUUCAGAUGGGAACUUGGUCUUGCAAGAUGCUGACGGAGCUAUUGCUUGGUCGACGAAUACCAGUGGUAAAUCUGUUGUGGGCUUAAACUUGACAGACAUGGGCAACCUCGUACUUUUUGACAAGAAUAAUGCAGCCGUUUGGCAAUCUUUCGAUCAUCCAAUAGACUCUCUGGUUCCUAGCCAAAAAUUGUUGGAAGGGAAGAAACUUACAGCUAGUGUUUCAACCACGAAUUGGACGGAUGGAGGUCUGUUUUCAUUUUCUGUCACUAACGAAGGAUUAUUUGCUUUCAUAGAGUCUCAUAAUACUUCAGUACCGUAUCAUGAAUUACUUAGAGCCACAAAAACAAGUAAGGAACCAAGCCAUGCUAGAUAUCUGAAUGGAAGCUUAGCUUUCUUCAUAAAUUCCUCCGAACCAAGGGAACCAGAUGGGGAAGUUUCUGUUCCUCCAACAUCAUCAUCCCCGGGACAGUACAUGAGAUUGUGGCCUGAUGGACAUUUAAGAGUUUACGAGUGGCAAAGAAUGUGGAUAGUAGUGGCGGAUCUCUUGAUGAGUGACCUUUGGGAUUGCGAUUAUCCUCUGGUUUGCGGUAAGUAUGGCAUCUGCUCUCGGGGGCAAUGCAGUUGUCCUGCAACCUAUUUCAAGCUAUUAGAUGAUAGACAGCAUGCCCUUGGGUGCUCCCAGAUUACUUCCUUAUCAUGUGAAGCUUCGCAAGAUCAUAGAUUUGUUGAACUCAAUGACGUCGCUUACUUCGCGUUUAGCUCAUCUAGCUCAGACAUUACGAAUACAGAUUCAGAGACAUGCAAACAAGCCUGUUUAAAGAAUUGCUCGUGCAAAGCUGCUCUUUUUCAGUAUGGUUUGAACUCUUCUGCUGGAGAUUGCUACUUACCAUCUGAAAUCUUUUCAAUGAUGAAUAAUGAGAAGGAAACGACUCAUUAUAACUCAACUGCUUACAUUAAGGUUCAAAACUUGCCAAUGCCAGGUGCAAGUCCUGGAGGAAAAGAGACGAGCCACAGAAAAAGAAUAAUGGGGUUCAUCCUUGAAUCUUUCUUUGGUUUAUUAGUUCUAAUUGGUAUCUUGAUCUUUUUCUUUCGAAAGAAAAAUGGUGCUGAUGAAAUUGAGGAAGAUUAUUUAGAUCAAGUGCCAGGACUACCCAAAAGAUUCUCUUUUGAAGAGUUGAAAGUCAUGACAGACAAUUUCAGAAAGAUGCUGGGUAAGGGGGGUUUUGGCUCAGUCUUUGAGGGGACACAAACUGAUGGCACAAAAGUUGCAGUGAAACGUCUCGAAGGAAUUGGUGAAAUCAAUAAAUCUUUCUUAGCAGAGGUGAAGACAAUUGGAAGCAUUCAUCAUCAGAACUUGGUGAGAUUGAUAGGGUUUUGUGCUGAGAAAUCUCAUAACCUUCUUGUUUAUGAAUACAUGCCGAAUGGAUCUCUAGAUAGGUGGCUUUUCCAUAGAUCAGAUGAGUUUAUGCUUGACUGGCAGCAAAGAAAGAAGAUCAUCCUUGAUAUUGCCAAGGGACUAACCUAUCUCCAUGAAGAUUGCAGGCAGAAGAUACUCCACUUGGAUAUCAAGCCCCAAAAUAUUCUGCUAGAUGGCAACUUUAAUGCCAAAGUUGCUGAUUUUGGUUUGUCGAAAUUGAUUGACCAGGACCAGAGCCAAGUUGUGACAACCAUGAGAGGAACUCCAGGCUAUUUGGCUCCUGAGUGGCUUAGCUCAAUAAUUACAGAAAAAGUAGAUAUCUAUAGCUUUGGAGUUGUGAUGUUGGAGAUACUGUGCGGCCGGAAAGUUUUUGACCGCUCUCAGCCUGAGGAGGAAGACAUGUAUUUGCUAAGCAUAUUCAAGAAGAAGGCAGAGGAGGACAAAUUGUCUGAUCUGGUGGACAAACACAGUAACGAUAUGUAAUCAAAUGGAGAAGAAGUAGUGAAUAUGAUGAAGGUGGCUGCAUGGUGUCUGGAAAGUGAUUUUGCAAAGAGACCUUCCAUGUCAAUGGUAGUUAGGGUUUUGGAGGGUGUUACAGAGUUUGAGCAUAACCUCCAUUAUAACUUGGUUCAUCUACCAAUCACAGCAGCAUUAGCAAACGUUGAUCAUAGAGAAGAAAAUGAUAAACCCACUACUCAAUUGUUGCCUUCAGUUUUGUCAGGGCCAAGAUGACAGACGGCUAGCAAUUAUACAUACUAGGGGUGGGCAUCACUUCGGUUCGUUUCGGUUUCGGGAUAAAUUUUCGGUUUCGGAUUGGUUCGGAUUUGGUUUUCGGUUUCGGUUCUCUUAACGGUUUUAUUUAAACAAUUAGUUUUUCGAUUCAUCUUAACGAUUUGGCUUUUAGUUUGAUUUUUCAUAUCAUUUUCUAUUUCAAACCAUGUACAAUAAUUUUCUUAUUUUUAAUAACUACAUAAUAUAUUCAGAGCAUGUACAAUACUACAAUCUACGAUUUGAUCAAUUAAUUUACAACUUCAUCAAUUACUACUACAUCAUUAAAAUAUAUCAACAUCCUCUUCAUAAUCAUCCUUCAUAAUCUCCUCUAUAACAUUAUUAUUUUCUUCCAUCUUGCACACAAGGCCUACUAUAAUCAAUGUAUAAUAAAAAAUAAUAAUAAUAUUUACAAAUUUGUAUUUAAAAAAAAUAGACAAGAAUUUUGGACUAAAAUGAAGAAUUUUCAGAAUUAUAGUUACUGUUUUUAACAUCAAAACCUUUGGGCCAAAAUGUAAAUAAAAUAAAAUAAAAUAAGUAUUUGUGCCGUCAUCAAAACAUUAGGGACUAAAAUGAUAUUUUAUCUUGUCAAGGACUAUUCUGAAAAGUUAGCAAACAAAUUAAACUAUAAUGGAAUUCCUCUAUGCAAAUAUUUCCUGAAUAUUGGGCCAUGCUAAAUUUUUAUAAAGAAAAUGAAUCUAAACGAUAUUAUCCUCCAUCAUCUUUAACAUUCUGCGCCUUCUUCAGUCCUCACCCAGCACUACCAGCAGCACAGUAUCCAAAUAGAAAAAUUGGAAAAACACAGUAACAUACUCAUAUUCAGGCAAAGCUAACAAAACUGAAUACUACUAAUGAUUUAAGCAAAUAUGAAAUAAAUAUAAAUCAAAGAGCUAUUUCAAAAAAAAAAAAGACUCAUUUAAAAAACAGAGCAAGUUAGUCACGAAUGAAAACAUACCCAUUACCUAACUGGCUAGCUAGUGACAGAGUAAGGAGAGAAUGGCAGCGGUAGGUCUACAGCAAGGAGAAGGCAACACGGGCAAAGGCAGAUGCGAGUUAGGUUUUGGAUUGUGGGUUCGUGGCUGUGCUGUGCAAGUGAGAGAGAGAGAGAGGUGCAAACUGGAAAUGUGUAAUUUGUGUAUGGGUGAGGCUAUUUAAACCCACGAAACAACUCUUUACACCCAUAAUUUUUCAAUAACUUUUAUUAUCAAAUUACCCAUUAUGACAAUUACCAUUAAGGACAGACCAAAAAAAAAAAAAAAAAAAUUAGUUGGUGAGAAGUGAAUGAAAAUUCUGCAUAAGCUGAAAAUAAUUUUCGGCAUCUUAUGAAAAUACACAAUCAAAUAGAAAAAUCGAACAAUAGAAAUAAUUGAAUUUGAUGAUUCAAGACUUAAAGGAAAAAUAGAGUCCUUCAUAUGUAUAACUAAUAGUUAAUUAAGCUAAUGAACUCUAUGGCAAUUAUGGCGAUGAAUGAAAAAACAUGAAGAAUUUUUUGCAUCUUGCAGUUAUGAUAUGAAAUUAUAAAGAUUUUCGUGAAAGCCAAUGGAUGAAAAAGAAAUGGACAAUUUCAAUGUAAACCCAUCUGUAAUAUAUUCAGUAGUCUGUUGCUGGCUCAAAAUUUUCAAUUUAUUGGUGCACAUCAUCAAAGUUUAUUUCUUCAUGGAUUUUACUAUUAGGAUAGUUUUUAAUAGGGAUAUUAUCAUUUUCCCACCAAAGGUAUUCUGACACAUCAUGCCAGUAUCACGGUUUGGUAAAACCAUCAAUUUACCACCAAACAUUUAAACUGUUAGCAUUUUCCCACCAUUCCGUUAAAACUCAGUUAAUAUAUAACAUAAAAUUUAUAAAAGGUCAAUUUUACCCCUGUAUCAUAAAAGACCAUGUAAUUAACCUUUUAUGAAUUUUGUAAUUAAAUCAUUAUUUGUUGUUCUUCCUUCUUAAAGGGCAAAAAUUACCCUUUAUGAAUUUUGUAAAAUUGACCGUAUGGUGCUAGGUACUUCAUAAAUUGAUUUAAUUUUUAAAGGGCAAAUUUAUUUAUUAAAUUGACGAGCUAAAGACAAUUUAUUCUACUACUAAAAAUCAAUUUAUGAAAGGGAAAAAAAAGAAUGUGCAAAAGAAGCAAUUUAAUGGAAAAAAAAGAAUGUGCAAAAGAAGCAAUUUAAUCUUUGAUAUGAUGAUAAUAAUUUUACACAAAAAAUUAAAUAAAUAAAUUUUCCCUUUAAAAAUUAAAUCAAUUAAAUCAAUUUAUGAAGUACCUAGCACCACACAAUCAAUUUUAAAAAUUCAUAAAGGGUCAUUUUUGCCCUUUAAGAAAGAAGAAUAGUAAAUGAUGAUUUAAUUACAAAAUUCAUAAAAGGUUAAUUACAUGGUCUUUUACGCUCCAGGGGUAAAAUUGACCUUUUAUGAAUUUUCCGUUAAAUAUUAACUGAGUUUUAACAUAAUGGUGGGAAAUGCUAACAGUUUAAACGUUUGGUGAUAAAUUGAUGGUUUUAUCGAACCGUGGUACUGACAUGAUGUGUCAGAAUACCUUUGGUGGGAAAAUGAUAAUAUCCCUUUUUAAUAUUAGCAAGGUGCAUCAAAGUUGUUGUCACCAUUCAAUACUGUAUAAGAAGGGGGAGGGAAGAAAAAAAGCGAACGAAGAUAAUAUAGGGUUAUUUUUUAAGGGUUCAUAGAGUACAAUUUUAUUUUUCAAAUUUACAUUGUCGGUGUUUUGAAAAAAUGGGUGCAGAAAGUAAAAUUUUGGGUUCAAAUAGCCCCACCCUUUGUGUAUAUAUAUGUUCCAGCAAAAUUACGAAAAUACCUUAAUUUUAGUUCGGUUUAAAUUUUAUAAUUUUUGAUUCAAAAAUCGAACCGAACCAUUUGAUUUAGUAUUUAUAAAUUCAAAUUUUUUGUUAUAAAAAAAUUGAACCGAACUAAAUUUUUCUCGAUUUAGUUCGGUUUUGCCAACCCCUAAGAUUACAUGCCACUUAUCCAUUCUUGAUUAGCAUUAAUAAUGCUUACCAACAACUUUUGUUUUUAGACUUAAAAAAGAAAUCCAAUUGGGCUUUACUAACAAGUUUCAGCAUCUUUCUUGAAAAAAAAAAAAAAAAAAAAAAUUGGCCCCAAAUUUUUGUAGGGUUAUUCGUGGAUACAAACCGGAAUAAAAGAAACUUCAAAUCUUUGAUAAGAUUGUAAAUUUCAUUAUCGAUUUAUUAUGCAAGUUUAAAUUCGUGGACCAAUAACUGCAGGAACCAUCUAACGUACGUAUGUGCUAAUCAAGAAAUUCAUGGCAAGUCUCAGUAGUAAUUGAUCUCAAAUUUGCAGUAUCUAGCGAAUCUUAUCAUUGACUGAGCUUUGGCCCUGAUCUUUUCUGCUUCUCAAGCAGAUCAGUGGCAGAAACAAGAAGAGGGUGCCUACAACAUUAGGGUUAAUCAAAUACAUUUUGCCAAGCAAAAUUGAGCGAAGAAGUCCAAUCUUAUGGGAAGUUAACUCAAGCUUUUACUAGUGGAUCUUCUGUAAGAUACAUACUUCUGAAAAAUGCAUGUUCUACACUGAUUUUGUCAGUCUUUAUUUGUUGUUUAGACGCUGAGAGUGUCUGUCUUUAGACAUUGAGAAUGUAAGUGGGGGAGGCGAAGCAAGCUGCAUUACAUUGAACGCUUUAUUUUGAUUUGUUCAAUGCUUCAAUUUAUAUAUAUAUAUAUAGUUUUAUUUCUCAGUACUUUUAUGGUGAUCUUUAUUAACUUUGGUAAUGUUUGUUUUUUUUAUCUAAAAUCUGAAUGAAUUUGAUUAUUUGAAUUUGGUUGAACUCUAAAUAGAUCUGAAUACAUAUAUCUAAAUGAUAUAUAUAUAUAUAUAUAUAUAUAUUAAUAUCUGAAUACAAGUGUUAAGUUAUUUGUUUUUCAAAAAGAAAACAUCUGAGAUAUGAUACUUUGGUAUAUAUAACUUCAUAAAUAAUAACAAUACUUAUAUUUGUUGGUUAAACAUAUCACAAGUUAUAAAUAAAUUAUUUGAUUAGUAAAAAAAAAAUUGAUGGUGUUUACGUUAACGAAGCAAGAAAAAUAAAAUAUACAUCUAACAUAUGUAUUUUUUUACAUUAAUAUAUAAUACUUAUAAUGUUAUUUUUAGUACAUUAUAUUGAUAUAAUAGUUGAAUAGUUGAAUACACAUAUAAAACAACAAAAGGGGAUAAAUAAAAAAAUAAUAAAAGGAUAAUUUAUAUGAUAGGAAAUAAAUUUAUUUAAUAGGGGUUAUUAAUGAGAUAGAAUAUUAAAGUUCCAUUUAGACAAAAGUUAAAAUAUUUAACAAUUUUUCAUUCAGACAUAAACAUCUUAUAAUCAGACACAAGUGAUAAAAAAAACAAAUAAAAUUUGUAAAUGUCUGAAAAUAAUUAAAAUUCAAACUUGAGACAAAAUCAAACAAUCCAUUACUCUUUUGUUGCUUUUUUUUUAUUACUAACAAUUUUCUAGAAUUAUCUAGAUCAAAUCUAUUAUAACAUAGUUUAAAUUUCUACUUCCACUGGUAUUAAGGAAAAAAAAAUAUACUCCAUUAGUAUUUGUACAGAAAUGUCUAUCUCUAAAUUCCAUAAUUAAAAAGUGAGAAAAAUACCUUAAAACAAUUAUUUAAGUGGAAGGUGAAUAGAAUUCUAAUUAUAUGAUUAAGGAAAGAGUAACCUUUGAGUUGAACUUGCCCUUAGAAGCUUUGAAGGCUAGGGUUACCAAUGGGGGGUAGCCCAUUGGCCUCCUUUAUUACUUUUAAACUGUGGAUGCAUCGAGUCUCUUUCUUGUAGAAGGAUUUGACCAAGGCAAAAACAAAAACAUAACUUGUCAACCUUCUCAUUGCCCUGUUUUUCAAAAUUCGUCUAUGGGCCUUGAGCUUGUGGGCGGGGGAAGGCACAUAGAACGAGACUAGAGGGGUUUGACUUUUUGUUCUAUAAAUAAGUUUUCCAAUCAACCAAUUGUUGUAUAAUUGAAUCAUUCUGCAGUAAACCAAAUCCUGCAAUCUCCCUUUCAAGUCGUCCUGUUUAUUCCGAAUUGUGCUGCACAUUUUGGGAGAUGAGUGUUAGCUGGAACUGGUGCUCUGUUCUUUUCUUUCUUAUUUUCUCUAUUACGUUUUCUUUCUUGGUUGAUGCCCGAAGCCAAAGUUUUGAUUAUCCGACAGCAAAACUCUCAACUAAAUGGGUCAACAGCCCGUCAGCUCCUCAUUCCGUAGCUUUCACGGACGGAUCAACGGUGAGAGCCAUCCUUCUUAGGGGAACCUUUGGCCCCAGAUAUGCAUGUGGCUUCUUCUGUAACGGAGCCUGCGACACUUAUCUAUUUGCUGUUUUCAUAGUUCAAACCAACAGUGCUUCCUCAAUCGUUGCGCCAGCAAUCGGAUUCCCACAGGUCGUCUGGGCUGCUAACCGUAACAAUCCUGUUCGGAUAAAUGCAACCUUAGAACUCACUUCAAGUGGGAACUUGGUUUUGCGAGAUGCUGACGGGACUGUAGCUUGGUCGACGAAUACUAAUGGUAAAUCUGUUGUGGGCUUAAACUUGACAGACACGGGCAACCUUGUACUUUUCAACAAGAAAAAUGCAGCAGUUUGGCAAUCUUUCGAUCAUCCGACAGACUCGCUGGUUCCUGGGCAAAAAUUGGUGGAAGGGAAGAAACUUACAGCUAGUGUUUCAACCACGAAUUGGAUGGAUGGGGGUUUGUUUUCACUUUCUGUCACUAAGAAAGGAUUGUUUGCAUCCAUAGAGUCUAAUAAUACUCCAGUACCGUACUAUGAAUAUAGAGUCGGUGGCACGAAAACAAGAAAGCAACCAAGCUAUGUUAGAUAUCUGAAUGGAAGCUUAGCUUUAUUCAUAAAUUUAUCGGAACCAAGUGAGCCAGAAGGGGCACUUUCUGUUCCCCCGGCAUCAUCAUCGCCGGGACAGUACAUGAGAUUGGGGCCUGAUGGACAUUUAAGAGUUUACGAGUGGCAAGCAUCGAAAGGGUGGACACAAGUGGCGGAUCUCUUGACAAGUUAUUUUGGGGAAUGCGGUUUUCCUAUGGUUUGCGGCAAGUACGGCAUCUGCUCCGGCGGGCAAUGCAGUUGUCCUCCAACCUAUUUCAAGCCAAUAAAGGAUAGACAGCCUGCCCUUGGGUGCUCCCCGAUUACUCCCUUAUCAUGUGAAGCUUCCCAAAAUCAUAGUUUUGUUGAACUUAAUGAUAUCACUUACUUCACUUUU
rnacentral:lncRNA from 1 species